AGCGUACACGGUGGAUGCCCUGGCAGUCAGAGGCGAUGAAGGACGUGCUAAUCUGCGAUAAGCGUCGGUAAGGUGAUAUGAACCGUUAUAACCGGCGAUUUCCGAAUGGGGAAACCCAGUGUGUUUCGACACACUAUCAUUAACUGAAUCCAUAGGUUAAUGAGGCGAACCGGGGGAACUGAAACAUCUAAGUACCCCGAGGAAAAGAAAUCAACCGAGAUUCCCCCAGUAGCGGCGAGCGAACGGGGAGCAGCCCAGAGCCUGAAUCAGUGUGUGUGUUAGUGGAAGCGUCUGGAAAGGCGCGCGAUACAGGGUGACAGCCCCGUACACAAAAAUGCACAUGCUGUGAGCUCGAUGAGUAGGGCGGGACACGUGGUAUCCUGUCUGAAUAUGGGGGGACCAUCCUCCAAGGCUAAAUACUCCUGACUGACCGAUAGUGAACCAGUACCGUGAGGGAAAGGCGAAAAGAACCCCGGCGAGGGGAGUGAAAAAGAACCUGAAACCGUGUACGUACAAGCAGUGGGAGCACAGAGCAAUCUGUGUGACUGCGUACCUUUUGUAUAAUGGGUCAGCGACUUAUAUUCUGUAGCAAGGUUAACCGAAUAGGGGAGCCGAAGGGAAACCGAGUCUUAACUGGGCGUUAAGUUGCAGGGUAUAGACCCGAAACCCGGUGAUCUAGCCAUGGGCAGGUUGAAGGUUGGGUAACACUAACUGGAGGACCGAACCGACUAAUGUUGAAAAAUUAGCGGAUGACUUGUGGCUGGGGGUGAAAGGCCAAUCAAACCGGGAGAUAGCUGGUUCUCCCCGAAAGCUAUUUAGGUAGCGCCUCGUGAAUUCAUCUCCGGGGGUAGAGCACUGUUUCGGCAAGGGGGUCAUCCCGACUUACCAACCCGAUGCAAACUGCGAAUACCGGAGAAUGUUAUCACGGGAGACACACGGCGGGUGCUAACGUCCGUCGUGAAGAGGGAAACAACCCAGACCGCCAGCUAAGGUCCCAAAGUCAUGGUUAAGUGGGAAACGAUGUGGGAAGGCCCAGACAGCCAGGAUGUUGGCUUAGAAGCAGCCAUCAUUUAAAGAAAGCGUAAUAGCUCACUGGUCGAGUCGGCCUGCGCGGAAGAUGUAACGGGGCUAAACCAUGCACCGAAGCUGCGGCAGCGACGCUUAUGCGUUGUUGGGUAGGGGAGCGUUCUGUAAGCCUGUGAAGGUGUGCUGUGAGGCAUGCUGGAGGUAUCAGAAGUGCGAAUGCUGACAUAAGUAACGAUAAAGCGGGUGAAAAGCCCGCUCGCCGGAAGACCAAGGGUUCCUGUCCAACGUUAAUCGGGGCAGGGUGAGUCGACCCCUAAGGCGAGGCCGAAAGGCGUAGUCGAUGGGAAACAGGUUAAUAUUCCUGUACUUGGUGUUACUGCGAAGGGGGGACGGAGAAGGCUAUGUUGGCCGGGCGACGGUUGUCCCGGUUUAAGCGUGUAGGCUGGUUUUCCAGGCAAAUCCGGAAAAUCAAGGCUGAGGCGUGAUGACGAGGCACUACGGUGCUGAAGCAACAAAUGCCCUGCUUCCAGGAAAAGCCUCUAAGCAUCAGGUAACAUCAAAUCGUACCCCAAACCGACACAGGUGGUCAGGUAGAGAAUACCAAGGCGCUUGAGAGAACUCGGGUGAAGGAACUAGGCAAAAUGGUGCCGUAACUUCGGGAGAAGGCACGCUGAUAUGUAGGUGAAGUCCCUCGCGGAUGGAGCUGAAAUCAGUCGAAGAUACCAGCUGGCUGCAACUGUUUAUUAAAAACACAGCACUGUGCAAACACGAAAGUGGACGUAUACGGUGUGACGCCUGCCCGGUGCCGGAAGGUUAAUUGAUGGGGUUAGCGGUAACGCGAAGCUCUUGAUCGAAGCCCCGGUAAACGGCGGCCGUAACUAUAACGGUCCUAAGGUAGCGAAAUUCCUUGUCGGGUAAGUUCCGACCUGCACGAAUGGCGUAAUGAUGGCCAGGCUGUCUCCACCCGAGACUCAGUGAAAUUGAACUCGCUGUGAAGAUGCAGUGUACCCGCGGCAAGACGGAAAGACCCCGUGAACCUUUACUAUAGCUUGACACUGAACAUUGAGCCUUGAUGUGUAGGAUAGGUGGGAGGCUUWGAAGUGUGGACGCCAGUCUGCAUGGAGCCGRCCUUGAAAUACCACCCUUUAAUGUUUGAUGUUCUAACGUUGRCCCSURAUCSGGGUUGCGGACAGUGUCUGGUGGGUAGUUUGACUGGGGCGGUCUCCUCCUAAAGAGUAACGGAGGAGCACGAAGGUUGGCUAAUCCUGGUCGGACAUCAGGAGGUUAGUGCAAUGGCAUAAGCCAGCUUGACUGCGAGCGUGACGGCGCGAGCAGGUGCGAAAGCAGGUCAUAGUGAUCCGGUGGUUCUGAAUGGAAGGGCCAUCGCUCAACGGAUAAAAGGUACUCCGGGGAUAACAGGCUGAUACCGCCCAAGAGUUCAUAUCGACGGCGGUGUUUGGCACCUCGAUGUCGGCUCAUCACAUCCUGGGGCUGAAGUAGGUCCCAAGGGUAUGGCUGUUCGCCAUUUAAAGUGGUACGCGAGCUGGGUUUAGAACGUCGUGAGACAGUUCGGUCCCUAUCUGCCGUGGGCGCUGGAGAACUGAGGGGGGCUGCUCCUAGUACGAGAGGACCGGAGUGGACGCAUCACUGGUGUUCGGGUUGUCAUGCCAAUGGCACUGCCCGGUAGCUAAAUGCGGAAGAGAUAAGUGCUGAAAGCAUCUAAGCACGAAACUUGCCCCGAGAUGAGUUCUCCCUGACUCCUUGA
rnacentral:rRNA from 1 species